CGAGUGGCGAACGGGUGAGUAAAGCAUCGGAACGUACCCUAGAGUGGGGGAUAACUAUCCGAAAGGAUAGCUAAUACCGCAUAUUCUAUGAGUAGGAAAGCGGGGGAUCUUCGGACCUCGCGCUCUAGGAGCGGCCGAUGUCAGAUUAGGUAGUUGGUGGGGUAAAGGCCUACCAAGCCGACGAUCUGUAGCGGGUCUGAGAGGAUGAUCCGCCACACUGGGACUGAGACACGGCCCAGACUCCUACGGGAGGCAGCAGUGGGGAAUUUUGGACAAUGGGGGCAACCCUGAUCCAGCCAUGCCGCGUGAGUGAAGAAGGCCUUCGGGUUGUAAAGCUCUUUCGGCCGGGAAGAAAUCGUGUGGGCUAAUACCCUGCAUGGAUGACGGUACCGGAAUAAGAAGCACCGGCUAACUACGUGCCAGCAGCCGCGGUAAUACGUAGGGUGCGAGCGUUAAUCGGAAUUACUGGGCGUAAAGCGUGCGCAGGCGGUUUUUUAAGACAGGCGUGAAAUCCCCGGGCUUAACCUGGGAACUGCGCUUGUGACUGGAAGGCUAGGGUACGGCAGAGGGGGGUGGAAUUCCACGUGUAGCAGUGAAAUGCGUAGAUAUGCGGAGGAACACCGAUGGCGAAGGCAAUCCCCUGGGCCUGCACUGACGCUCAGC
rnacentral:rRNA from 1 species